UACGUAGGGUGCGAGCGUUGUCCGGAAUUAUUGGGCGUAAAGAGCUCGUAGGCGGUUUGUCACGUCUGCUGUGAAAUCCCGAGGCUCAACCUCGGGCCUGCAGUGGGUACGGGCAGACUGGAGUGCGGUAGGGGAGAAUGGAAUUCCUGGUGUAGCGGUGGAAUGCGCAGGUAUCAGGAGGAACACCGAUGGCGAAGGCAGUUCUCUGGGCCGUAACUGACGCUGAGGAGCGAAAGCGUGGGGAGCGAACAGG
rnacentral:rRNA from 1 species